CAGGAAGUAGUUUAACUAGAAUAUCAGCUUUGGGUGUUGAUGGUAGGGUGUUAUGACCUUCUUCUUGA
rnacentral:tRNA from 1 species